rnacentral:rRNA from 1 species
AGCGAACGCUGGCGGCAGGCUUAACACAUGCAAGUCGAGCGGGCACUUCGGUGUCAGCGGCAGACGGGUGAGUAACACGUGGGAACGUACCCUUUGGUUCGGAAUAACGCUGGGGAACUAGCGCUAAUACCGGAUACGCCCUUUUGGGGAAAGGCUUGCUGCCGAAGGAUCGGCCCGCGUCUGAUUAGCUAGUUGGUGGGGUAAUGGCCUACCAAGGCGACGAUCAGUAGCUGGUCUGAGAGGAUGAUCAGCCACACUGGGACUGAGACACGGCCCAGUCUCCUACGGGAGGCAGCAGUGGGGAAUAUUGGACAAUGGGCGCAAGCCUGAUCCAGCCAUGCCGCGUGAGUGAUGAAGGCCUUAGGGUUGUAAAGCUCUUUUGUCCGGGACGAUAAUGACGGUACCGGAAGAAUAAGCCCCGGCUAGCUUCGUG